GACGAACGCUGGCGGCAUGCCUAACACAUGCAAGUCGAACGAGACCUUCGGGUCUAGUGGCGCACGGGUGCGUAACGCGUGGGAACCUGCCUUUAGGUUCGGAAUAACUCAGAGAAAUUUGAGCUAAUACCGGAUGAUGUCUUCGGACCAAAGAUUUAUCGCCUUUAGAUGGGCCCGCGUAAGAUUAGCUAGUUGGUGGGGUAAAGGCCUACCAAGGCGACGAUCUUUAGCUGGUCUGAGAGGAUGAUCAGCCACACUGGGACUGAGACACGGCCCAGACUCCUACGGGAGCCGCAGUGGGGAAUAUUGGACAAUGGGCGAAAGCCUGAUCCAGCAAUGCCGCGUGAGUGAUGAAGGCCUUAGGUGUAAAGCUCUUUACCCGGGAAGAUAAUGACUGUACCGGGAGAAUAAGCCCCGGGCUAACUCCGUGCCAGCAGCCGCGGUAAAGUGACUACUG
rnacentral:rRNA from 1 species